rnacentral:lncRNA from 1 species
CUUUUGUGCAGAGAAGACUGAGAAUUCAGCCCUAGAGAAUUCAGCUCUGGUUGUGAGUGCCUCUUUUCCAGGGCAGAGACUUCUGGAAAAGCAGAUGGAGCCUUGUGGAAUGGGGCUCUCUGCCUCAUCUGGGGAGUGACUCUCGAUUCCCCUCACCUGUCCCUCCCAUCACACCUGGGCUUCUUUGCGGUGACAGACCCAGGGUCUCCCUAUGUUGCCAAGGCUGGUCUCGAACUCCUAGGCUCAAGCAAUACUCCUGCCUUGGCCUCCCAAAGUGCUGGGAUUAACUCCUCUGGCUGGCGAGGCUGUAUCCUCCUCCUUCUGUUGCAGAAAAUGAGCCUCCAUCAGCCUGUGUCCCCGCGUGAGGACAGUGUGAAACAGACACUCCAGCUGAGCUGUGAGAGACGAGCAGCAUGAGGCAGAAAUAAACCUUCGUUGUCUUACACUG